UACGUAGGGGGCAAGCGUUGUCCGGAUUUAUUGGGCGUAAAGAGCGUGUAGGCGGCCAGAUAGGUCCGUUGUGAAAACUCGAGGCUCAACCUCGAGACGCCGAUGGAAACCAUCUGGCUAGAGUCCGGAAGAGGAGAGUGGAAUUCCUGGUGUAGCGGUGAAAUGCGCAGAUAUCAGGAAGAACACCCGUGGCUAAGGCGGCUCUCUAGUACGGUACUGACGCUGAGACGCGAAAGCGUGGGGAGCGAACAGG
rnacentral:rRNA from 1 species